rnacentral:rRNA from 1 species
UGGGGAAUAUUCGACAAUGGGCGCAAGCCUGAUCCAGCCAUGCCGCGUGUGUGAAGAAGGCCUUUUGGUUGUAAAGCACUUUAAGCGAGGAGGAGGCUACUUGGAUUAAUACUCUAGGAUAGUGGACGUUACUCGCAGAAUAAGCACCGGGUAACUCUGUGCCAGCAGCCGCGGUAAUACAGAGGGUGCGAGCGUUAAUCGGAUUUACUGGGCGUAAAGCGUGCGUAGGCGGCUUUUUAAGUCGGAUGUGAAAUCCCUGAGCUUAACUUAGGAAUUGCAUUCGAUACUGGGAAGCUAGAGUAUGGGAGAGGAUGGUAGAAUUCCAGGUGUAGCGGUGAAAUGCGUAGAGAUCUGGAGGAAUACCGAUGGCGAAGGCAGCCAUCUGGCCUAAUACUGACGCUGAGGUACGAAAGCAUGGGGAGCAAACAGG